rnacentral:misc_RNA from 1 species
AAGUCGUAACAAGGUUUCCGUAGGUGAACCUGCGGAAGGAUCAUUCAUAAAAUGGAGGUGAAAAUUUUAUUUGAUUUUCAGCGGAAUUUUUCUGCUAGAAUUUCAUUUUUCAUCCUCUUGUUGAUUGUUUUUUCAACUAAAAAGGUCGCAAAAUUGAAGGGAAAAAGAGAAAUUUUUUUGGCUGGGUUUGAAACUUUGAAUUUUCGCAAGGAUUUUCUUUUUUUCAGUAAAACCGUUUUGAUUUUCCUGCCGAAAUUUUUUCAAUUUUUGAUCUAAGGCCCUAGGGAGUUUGACCUAUUUGAUCAAUCAAAAAGUUUUAAACAACUUUUAGCAAUGGAUCUCUAGGCUCAU